UGCAAAUAAAUUCUAUAAAUGACAAUAUAUUUAUUUUUUGAGAGAAAUGUCAUCAGUAGUGUCAUCAGAUACAGAAUACAAGCACCAUGUUUAUUUUACUCAAACAUAUACCUAUAAAUAGUUAAAAUAUAUUAGUCUUUUUUGUAGUGCAAUAUUAAUCUGGAAACUUUAACCUGUAUAUUGUUUUUAAAUCAAGUUAUAUAUGGUAUCAAGUUUUGGUGCCAUGUUUCACUUGCAAUGAACUAUUUUUACAGACCCUGCUGACUCAUUUAGUGACGUGGCGGAGCAACUAUCCAAUUCACAAGGUUUUGAUGAAUAUUUCGAUCCAGAAGAAAAGGAGGAAAAUGAGGCGGCAGAAGAGGAGCUGUGCUACGCCACAGUGCUGCACCCAGGCGUUUCUGAGAACUCUGUUCAUGCCAUCAGAUUCAGCCACAAGACUGAGUACGCUGUGGUGGUCAUAAACAGUAAAUAACCACAGCUAGGCAGCUUAAUGUCAGUCGACUUUGAAGUGUUUCCUCAGCCGACAGCUUGUAUAAGUUAUGAGGUGUUAUCUUGUGAGUGUGGUUGAAGGGUGGUCAGCAUGCUCGUGGAAAAGCAACAUACUGUAAAAAAAGCAAAAUACUGUCACAUAAAACUCCUUUUUUUAUAGCCUUAUAUAUAUAUUUUUUUCUUUUUCUCUAUUCUUCUGUGUUUUAAUUUAUGUUUGAAUCUGUUUCUAUCUAUCUAUCUAUCUAUCUAUCUAUCUAUCUAUCUAUCUAUCUUUUAAAAAUCCUUUUAUAGUACCAGUCAAAAGUUCAGUUUGCACACGGCUCUUCUCAGUCAAUGUGUUUUCUUUCUUUUUGUGAAUUUUGUGUGUUUUACAUUGUACAUUUAAUAUUGAAGACUAUAUUGAAGCUAUACAGGAACACAUGCUGAAUUAUUUUUGAAUAAACCAGAAUAUGUUUUAUACUUAUAUAUAUGU
rnacentral:lncRNA from 1 species